rnacentral:lncRNA from 1 species
AUGUACAAGUAUUGUCUCAUUUUAUACUCUCAACAUAGUCACUGGGAAGGGAGGAAGGGAGGAAGGGAGGGAGGAAAGAAGGAAGGAAGGAAGGAAGGAAGGAAGGAAGAAAGAAAGAAAGAAAGAAAGAAAGAAAGAAAGAAAGAAAGAAAGAAAGAAAGGAGAGAGAGGGGGAGGGAAGAAGGAAGGAAGGAAGGAAGGAAGGAAGGAAGGAGGGAAGGAAGGAGGAAAGGAAGGAAGGAGGGAAGGAAGGAAGGAGGGAAGGAAGGAGGGAAGGAAGGAAGGAAGAAGAGAGAGAAAAAGAGGGGGGGGGUCACCUCCAUGGACUAUCAUGAUACAUUCUUGCUCAAAAACCAUCAAAUAGCUUCCUAUUUUCUCCUAGGCUCCUUAGCUGAGUAUACAAGACUGUACCUCACCUCACAAGACAGUACAAGUACAAGACUGUACUGCCCCACCUCAACCUACCCUAUUCAAGUUUCUAUCUCAUUGUUACCUUUAAUAUAUUCUAGACAUACCCUAGACAAACGGGCACACCCAUCCUUUCCUGGGCUCUUCUCCCAGCAAUGUCCAGCCCCUUCAUUUCUUCUCCCUUCAAGGUCCAGCUUGGCUGCCCCCCACUGCCAGGCCAUGAAGCCCUUCCCAGCCCUUCCCCUAGUGGCUAUGAUUUCUUCUAACCCUCUGUACCUCUUCAGUGCUCCAUGGCUGCUUUUAUUAUUGCCAUUUGGGGGGCUGCUCCAGACCCCUGAUCUCCUCUGUAUAGCUUAGAAUCCCAGUAAGCUGCCAGGGAUACUGAGAGGCAGGACUGGAACCCUCAUUGCCCUGGCUUCUAUGCUGGGUCUUCCAGUCGCUGUCCCAGACUCCCUGGUGUCUGCCUUCACCACGUUCUAUCUCAUCUCUGUUCCUAACCACUGGCUCUUUGAGAGACUGACUGUGUUUAAAGCUCACACUUCCGUAGCAUGUCAGACCUUCACAACAGCUCAUCUGAGGUUCCUGUAAGCAAUAGUUUACUUGUAGCUCAAGUCAUAAGCCUGGAACAUUUACACCAAACUCUCCUCACUGACGGAGAGAAUGAUUCGAUGCUACCCUUCCUGCCUUAAUAAAGCCUGGGCUUCAUCUGAGUGUUUGGAAGAG